UAGUGCUUACAGCUCUCUUUGAAUUUGUCUAAUAGGUCCUCUAGUUUUCACACACACACAAAAAAAAACCCAG
rnacentral:snRNA from 1 species